GUUGAACGCUGGCGGCGUGCCUAACACAUGCAAGUCGAGCGGUAACGCGGGGGCAACCCUGGCGACGAGCGGCGGACGGGUGAGUAACGCUUAGGAAUCUUCCCAGUAGUGGGGAACAACCCGGGGGAAACUCGGGCUAAUACCGCAUACGCCCUCGGGGAAGGCGGGGACCGUAGGCCUCGCGCGUAUUGGAUGAGCCUAAGUACGGAUUAGCUAGUUGGUAGGGUAACGGCCUACCAAGGCGACAAUCCGUAGCUGGUCGGA
rnacentral:rRNA from 1 species